CAUUUGACUGCAGAUCAAGAGGUCCCCAGUUCAACUCUGGGUGCCCCCU
rnacentral:tRNA from 1 species